CUGGAGCUCAGAGGCCCGAUCACAGCUCACUGAAGCCUCAACCUCCCUGGCUCAAGUGUUUCUCUCACCUCAGCCCUCCUAAGUAACUGAGACUACAGUUACUUGGAGGUGAAAGUUGUAAGACAAAGAGUAUGUGGGAAGAAUGAAAAUAACAGUUCUAUUGAAACAAGGAAUGAAAACUCUGCCCCUAAGCUGACAUGGUUUAUGACUGACGAUGUCACCAAAUUGUGGAGAAGCACUCAUUAACAUAACUGAACAAUAGUUUUGAAAGCUCUUGUACAAGAUACAAGUAGCCAUAAGACUUACUGGCCUGGUGUGUGGAGACUUCAGAGGAGGUAGGGCAACUCUUCUAGGUGCCAUGAGCAAGCCCCAUUAAACUAAAGAAAUCAAAUCACCUCAUUCUUAAAGUCUUGAGAAGAUGAGAUAAACUUAAAAGCUUUCAACUGUGAAAGAACAGAAACAAAGCUCGCUGGAGAGAUGGGAUCUGAAUAGUCAAAUCAUUUUGAAUAGGCACUAUGUACUUGGGAACUUCUGCAUGAGCAAGUGAUUCUUGGAUAUUCCUGUAAAUCCAUUCUGAAUAUGGAAAUAAUCUUCGGGCCGGGCGCGGUGGCUCACUCCUGUAAUCCCAGCACUUUGGGAAGCCGAGGCGGGCAGAUCACGAGGUCAGGAGAUGCAGACCAUCUUGGCUAACACGGUGAAACCCCAUCUCUACUAAAAAUACAAAAAAGUUAGCGGGGCGUGGUGGCGGGCGCCUGUAGUCCCAGUUACUCAGGAGGCUGAGGCAGGAGAACUGCGUGAACCCGGGAGGCGUAGCUUGCGG
rnacentral:lncRNA from 1 species